GUACUUACAUUAGUUGUCCACCAAAAGAAAGCGAUGAAUAGAUUAUCAAAACUUCAAACAGCUAAAAAACAGUGUUUCAGUUUGAAUCAUCUUGUUGCGGCGCAAAAAAUAUUUAAUACAUAUAUAAAUAGUUUCGGCAGCAAAGUCUGUAGUCGAGAUAUUGCAAUACUUAUAGCGACAUCAUUGCAAGGAAGUAAGAUAUGCAAAAAAACAAUUCUCAAUAAUCUCAGACGACAUAAGUACUGGUUGCAUACGUCCCUGCACAUCAUCCACGAAAAUAUUUGUUUGUUGAAGCCGAAUUUUCCGGAUCAAGUCAUAUUGGAUAACUGCCAUUUACUUUUGUACCCUGUGUUAGACAUAGAAAAACACAUAAAUUACCUUCAAAAAAUGCGAAACAGUGACUCGAAAACAAGGGAAAAAUUCAGAACUGAAAUGGAUACAUAUCAUAACAAUUUGAAUUACUCCAAACUAACUGACAGCCAGAUUUUAAGUCUGACAUUGUACGAAAUUGAGAAAAAAUAUCAUUUUAGUGGCGAUGGAAUAUGGAAUAAACAAGAUGGCGCGAGAGAAGAAAAACAAAUGAAAAAAUCUCAACAAAUAUUAGCAUAACUGCGUUUUGUAUGGAGUUGUUAAUAAUGAAGCCUAAAUAAAAUACCAAAU